AGUGGCUGACAGACAACACCAAGAAUCGCUAAACACAACCUUAAAAUUUAAUACAACAAUUAAAGUGAUGUACUCCUUGACGAGGUACACAUGACAUCUAUACUGUACAGAAGAGUGAUUAAGUACCUAAUUUCCGUUAUUUUUCUUUCUGACAACACACACCUGGUCUACGGUAGUAUAUAUAUAUUGUCCUACAGGUAUGCGAGUUGGAACUUACUUAAAUUAUUUUACAUUAUUAUUUAUUUGACUAAAAAACAUUAAAUUAACUUUGUUAAUAUUAUAUUUUGUAUGUUAUAAAUGACUAACAGAAAGUUUAUCGAAAGUUGGAUUUUCAGACGAUUUUGGAUUUAUAAACUACUGUUUUGCAAAGCAAUUUGAGGAUGUUGAACAAUUUAAAAAACAUGUAAAAGAAGAGUACGACAAUACUGUCCCAGCAACCAUCGAUAUACUGCUGGCAUUCUUCGAGGCCAGUACGAGUUAUUCGAAUGCUGGUGGUGA